CAGAAUGUGAUGGCGGUGGUUAACCGAAGGAAGGUACAAGGCCUACAAAGGCGGUUAAAGUUUGUUUUCGUCAUUUGAUUGGAAUCACUCCUUUUUAAGCAAUUUCCAGUGUCCAGUGUGGACUUCCGUCGGACUAUCAUCUGAAAUCGAUGAUAUACAUGCUCCUUUUCUAGCUUUCACCUUUCUUCCUCUAUCAUCGUCGUCUACCGUUCUUCCGGCUCGUUUCAUUGUAUGCCGCAAUGGGAGGCGGAUACGCAUCCGUCAUAUCUGUCAGGGUACUGCGGAUGCCGUAAAAAUUCAGAGUGACAACUUCAUCAACACUCUAGCAGAUGCAAUCAAGAUAAUUGAUUACGGCACUGGUAGUCAUGGGACUGGCUCAAUUAUAUAUUGUCUUUUGAAGAAUGGGCUUCAUCUGUGAUUGUACUUGCCAUUUAAUGAGUUGGUCUAACUGAUUGGUGAAUUUAGGCAAUCACAGUUGGAGCUGAUCCAGCUUUCUAAUGGUUCUUCUGAAUUUUGUCUUAUCUGGGAACUUAAUUAAGAGAGUUGUAUUCCCCUUGGUGCUGCUUCCUUGGAUGAUGUUGACCUGGAUCAAGUCAGCCUUGAUUAUGUUCUCAAUUGUGCCAAGAAAGAUUAGGAGAUGUGCUAGAGUUAUCAGAAGCAAUUUGAGACCAUUAUGAAGAAGUCAUCCUUCCAGCGACUAUGAAGGGUGUUCAGCAGAAGAAUUUUUUUUUACUUACUAGGCGAGAAUACUCAGGAUCACCUCCAUGAUGGGCACCACCUCCAGUUCCUGUCCAUAUAGUGCCAGCACCUGUUGUGACAAAUCUUACAAAGUCACAGUCACUUCAUUCCCCGCCUGUUCAUGAGUUAACAAUAUAUGGCACUGAGAAUUUUGAUGAUGGAGAUGAGGAUGCUCGACUUAAUGUACUCAAGGUUGUAAGACGUCAAUAAAAUGAUGCAAGUGACCUCAUCUUUGAUUUGCCUCCAUUUUCAACAGGAAAAGGAGAAGAAAUCAAAACUGUUAAGCUUGCUAGCAAUGAGAGUGAGAAUGUUGCAUCCCAAACCUCACAUGAAUCAGGUUUGACUGGACUUUUUGAGGCAAUAUG